rnacentral:rRNA from 1 species
UACGUAAGGACCGAGCGUUGUCCGGAUUCAUUGGGCGUAAAGGGUACGUAGGUGGUUAGAAAAGUUAGAAGUGAAAGGCUAUAGCUCAACUAUAGUAUGCUUUUGAAACUGUUUAACUUGAGAGAUGGAAGGGAAAGUGGAAUUCCUAGUGUAGCGGUGAAAUGCGUAGAUAUUAGGAGGAAUACCGGUGGCGAAGGCGACUUUCUGGCCAUAAACUGACGCUGAGGUACGAAAGCGUGGGGAGCAAACAGG